rnacentral:lncRNA from 1 species
UUAACCCAAAAAUUAUGACAAUAUACCACCCAAAACAGCAUGAGCAUCCAAAAAUUUAACUGACUAGAAAAAAUGUUCAUAAUAAGAAAGCAAAAAACAAAACAGUAACAAAAACAGAAACAUACUAGAGAUCUGGAGAAGUGCAGCAGAGUGUACCCUGAGAAAGAGCCCGAGAACUCCUAGACGAUGAGCUCAGGCACGACGUCAUCCUCGCCGUAGCCACCGCACUGUGCAGUGGCAGCAACGACGCCACACCUCCCAACUCCGCCGGUGCCCUAUCACCCACGCAAUCAUUUCAACAUUAUUGCAAACUAAAACUAAACAAAAAAGAAGUAAAGCAGUAUGAGAAUCUAGGGUUUACCUAGAGAGAGAGAAGCGGCGGAGGGGAGAGGCGACUGGACUUGAAAAUAGAGAGGGCCUAUUGGACGGAGUGGUGGCUGAUCUGUUAAGAGAAGAAGAAGAAGAAGCUGGCUUCGAAAUGGCCGAUUUUAGGGCAGAAACAGAAGAUCGCUGGAAAAUUCUGCUGCAUCUGGAUGCCAUCUUCGUUACAGAAAGACACACACUAGAGAACUAAUUAUGCUAUGGAUUUUGAUGAGAUAAAUUAGGGUUUAGGGUUUUAGUGUAAAUUUAGGUUUAGACACAUUCAUGUAAGCGUCCCAUUAAUUGAGACGUGAUUCGUUACUUGCGUACCCAAAAUCGGUCAAUCAGAGUUUCACAAUAUACCAAAGUUACUUUCUAUCAUGUUUUCGAUAGGGUGUUUCAUGCCAAAAUUAUUAAAAUUUCGUAAUAUAAUCUCUUUUCAAUUUUCUUGUACAAAUCAAGGUCAUCAUCAAUUGAAUCUUAUAUAAGUUGAAAUCUUUCUUUACGAGUUAAUCGUUAAUGCACACCGAUGUUUCUAUUAUUUUUGAACUAGUUUAAAAAUAACCAAUAAUUAUUUUACUCAAUUAAAAUGAUUCAAUAGCAAUCGAAUCGUUGAGUUUGAAAGUGCUUUUUUUUUGUGCAAUUAAUAGAGGAUUUGAUACCUCAAUUCACUUUUUGUCCACUACUAAAAAAAAUGAACAAUUUCUUCGUCAUUGGGCUGAGUUUUAUCCGAAUUAAAAUUAUUAAAAUUGUUUCAAUUUUAAUUUCAUAAUCGGCACAUUAGUUAUUGAAAUUGGGACAACCUCGAACCAUAAAUGAUAAAAUAAAAUGAUCUGGGUGAGUUAAUUACUUAUGGGUAUUAUUUGGGCGAAGACUCAAAAUUAAGAAACUCAUAACACAAAUGUCAAAAUCCACGCGAUAAAAUAUUUCUUCAAUUCAAAAAUCAAAAUUUCACUGUCGCUGGCGCUGCUAGAUCUUCUUCCCUAAACAUCGUUGUUACUCAAAAUAUUUGAGUAACCGCUAAUGUAGUACAAAAAAUAUGAAACUGUCAAAUAUAUUACAAAAAAUAUUCGUGUAAAUACAUGAAAGNAAAAGAUGCAAAACAAUCAAGAUGAUCAAGAACAAUGCCAAUGCCACUUCAUGUUACUUAAAUGCACAUAGUUAACUGCAAAAAAUCUGAGCACAAGUAAAUAUUCAAGGUGCGGAAAUGUCAAAUGAGCAUAAACAGACACUACUUGUCUACUUCAACAAGGGUAUGUCAGUGCCGCAAAGCUGUGUAACAGCAUCUAUGUAUAUUUAUAAUGAGGUUUUUAGCAAUAUCUAGCUGAGAUGUCAGCUAGUGAGUCCCAUUAGAUGGCAAACUAAUACUAUAUCUCUAGAACAAACUCUAAGCUAAUACAAAAGACACGGAGUAAUUCACAAAACUCACCUACAUCUAGCUCAUGACAUAAAAUUAAAACAAAGGAAGAACCUAUUCAACAAGGAUGACAUUGCAUAGACUGCACCACAUAAUGAUAAAAUCAAUACAUUAUUGGCUACAUUGCAAAAUGUUUAACGAUUAAAGUAAUGAGACAUUGAAACCUCUACUUCCACCCAAGUCACCCAACCACCUCAACGAUUAAAGUAACGAUUAGGCUAGGGAAAUUUGUAAUAGUAAUGCACAUAAUCAUUGAGCAUCACAUUCCCUUUGGUCAGCGAUAACAGGACAUCAAAUACAUGGAUGUAGCUCCUCCAACUUUUAGUUACUUGAGUCAUUCUUUUCCAGAAAUAAGAUGUUGAUUUCAAUAAACUCUUCUGGACUAAGAUCCUACCACAAGCUCAAUCAAAUAGAAAAGAAACGCAAUUAACCCAAAAAUUAUGACUAGACCACCCAAAACAGCAUGAGCAUUCAAAAAUUUAACUGACUAGAAAAAAUGUUCAUAAUAAGAAAGCAAAAAACAAAACAGUAACAAAAACAGAAACAUACUAGAGAUCUGGAGAAGUGCAGCAGAGUGUACCCUGAGAAAGAGCCCGAGAACUCCUACGAUGAGCUCAGGCACGACGUCAUCCUCGCCGUAGCCACCGCACUGUGCAGUGGCAGCAACGACGCC